GGAAAAACUAUUUUGUGUGGUUUUCAAAGCAAGUAAAGUGGCCAAAAGCACUUAUGUUUCUUAAGCCCCAGAACAACCACUAGGGCCCUCAAUCUUUCAUUGAGUCUUUUCCAAAUCAGUUACUUCUGGAAUUUGGUCUCUUUAGUCUUCCUCAGCUUUUCUCUCGGUGUAGUUGGAGGUCUAUAAAGUCAUCCCAAACCUCUGCACCCAACUAAACUUAUUGGCGCUAUCUUCCAAUUCAGCCAUUCGGAGGUCUUGGCGGUUGAAACUUCAAGACAGGAAUUUGGAGUGAGGACACAGUUCAUUCCAUACACAAAGACAGGAGCGGCUUCAUCCAGAACCCGGAAGGUCUGUCCCUCUACAGAAACCCAGAUCUAAUCGUGUCGCAUCCCACACCAGGAAUUUCCAAACUUUGAUGCCAUUACAGUCUGAGAGAGCAUGACUGACGCAAGUGAGCCGGGAGCACAGGCAGGAGCACAGAGCCCAGCUGCCUCCCGCACCCCCUCCACCCACCCCAUCUACAGCUCAUUGCAUUAGCAGCCGCCUCUCGCCCCUCUACCCACGCCAUCUAGAGCCCACUGCGUCAGCCCAGAGGAUAUGUCAUUUGGCAGCAAAGCCUCAUCACAGAUAGAACCAGCUCCUCAGGCACCCUCAUUCCUGGAGAGGCACUUGACGGGGCAGAGCCUGAAGCAGAGUUUCCAGGAAGACAAGAAGGCCAACUUCCCUAGGAACUGCAGAUGGAGGUCCCGCUCAUGUGUUUCUGCGAAUUAAGGUGGGGCCUUGGUGAAAGAGCAGAAGAGCUCCCCAAG
rnacentral:lncRNA from 10 species